rnacentral:rRNA from 1 species
CCCUUAGAUGUUCGGGGCCGCACGCGCGCUACACUGAAUGAAUCAGCGAGUGUAUGUCCUAGGCCGAAAGGUCCGGGUAACCCGUUGAACCUCAUUCGUGAUUGGGAUAGGGACUUGCAAUUGUUUCCCUUGAACGAGGAAUUCCCAGUAAGCGCAAGUCAUCAGCUUGCGUUGAUUACGUCCCUGCCCUUUGUACACACCGCCCGUCGCUACUACCGAUUGAACGGUUUAGUGAGGGCCUCGGAUUGGUCUCGGCCCGCUCUUUACCGGGCGGCGCCGUUGGUCGAGAAGACGCUCGAACUUGAUCGUUUAGAGGAAGUAAAAGUCGUAACA